rnacentral:tRNA from 1 species
AAAAAGAUAAGCUAACAAAGCUAUUGGGUUCAUACCCCAUGAAUAAAGGCCCUACCCCUUUUCUUUUUA